rnacentral:lncRNA from 1 species
UAUUAUACUUCAAAUCUCUUCAAUGAACAGCAACCUUUAUCUCCACAGUUUCCUUCGAUGUCUGCAUCAUCACAGCACUACCAGCAAGACCUCACAAGAUUUUCAACCGAGUACCAGAGCUCUGACUAUCAGGGGCAAUAUGGAAAGGACUUUGAUCCAAGUAACAGAAGCCAGUAAGAAAAUAUUAGUAGCCUUUUUCUUCAAGUUCUAACUCAAGAGAAUUUGAUAAAUCUACUUUACUACAACUACACAUUUGAUUAGGCCGGGAAAUAGGAUAAUACCGUAAGCACUCCCAUUUCAUACUUGCAACGCCCACUCUUUUAUGUAUUUUAUAACUUUCCCAUCACAUGAUCCCUAUUGGACAUGGCGAUUAGGGGUUC